CGCUCUAUCCACUGAGCCAAACCAGCUAGGGCAAGAGAACAUUUUGAUAGUUGAAAGAUGGGAAGGGUUUUAGGGGUGGAUGAAAAAGGUGAAGGGAUCAAGAAGUACAAAUUGAUAGUUACAAAAUAGUAAGGGG